rnacentral:sRNA from 1 species
UUAUAGCCACGAUCGCAGCGGCAUCCUUUUUUGGUAGCUGAGGUUCUGGAAGCUUCCAAGAAAGAUACAGCGGAGAGCGGGUAUUAGG